AGUGGCGGACGGGUGAGUAACACGUAAGAAUUUGCCUUUAGGAGGGGGAUAACAACUGGAAACGGUUGCUAAUACCCCAUACGCUUUCGAGUGAAAUGGAUUUCCGCCUAAAGAGAAGCUUGCGGCUGAUUAGCUUGUUGGUAGGGUAAUGGCCUACCAAGGCGACGAUCAGUAUCUGGUUUGAGAGGACGAUCAGACACACUGGAACUGAGACACGGUCCAGACUCCUGCGGGAGGCAGCAGUAGGGAAUUUUCCGCAAUGGGCGAAAGCCUGACGGAGCAAUACCGCGUGAGGGAUGACUGCCUAUGGGUUGUAAACCUCUUUUUUCAGGGAGGAACAAAAUGACGUGUACCUGAAGAAUAAGCAUCGGCUAACUCCGUGCCAGCAGCCGCGGUAAGACGGAGGGUGCAAGUGUUAUCCGGAAUUACUGGGCGUAAAGCGUCUGUAGGUGGCUCGAUAAGUCAACUGUUAAAUCUUGAAGCUCAACUUCAAAAUCGCAGUCGAAACUAUCGGACUAGAGUAUAGUAGAGGUAAAGGGAAUUUCCAGUGGAGCGGUGAAAUGCGUAGAUAUUGGAAAGAACACCGAUGGCGAAAGCACUUUACUGGGCUAUUACUGACACUCAGAGACGAAAGCUAGGGUAGCAAAUGGGAUUAGAUACCCCAGUAGUCCUAGCCGUAAACAAUGGAUACUAGGUGUU
rnacentral:rRNA from 1 species